rnacentral:lncRNA from 1 species
GAUUAAUGGUUAGCGCCAACGAUCCGACAAGUGGUAUCAGAGCUAGAGUUUACGGGUUCGAUUCCCGCAUGCUGCAAAUGUGUGCAGGUGCUGGAGGGGGGAUUGUUGGCUUAAAUGGGCCAGCAUCUUGCCCUGUGGCGGGAGGCCAUGUGGGCCGAGUCAUGUUCGAAAUGGCGUGAGGCUGGGUUGGGCCGAGUCAUGUUCGAAGUGGCGUGAGGCCAGGUGGGCCGAGUCACAAUCGAGAUUCGUGGGUGCUGUUUCUGUACGCUUUAAGUGAAUUGGUUGCGUAUUUCUAACAGCUCGAGCUUUUGGGAUUAAUGGUUAGCGCCAACGAUCCAACAACUUCUUCUCCACCAUAACAACCUUGUUCUUGCAGUUCCUCACAGCCAAGAACAUCAAUUCCCCCAAAAUCCUCUUCGUAUGGUUCUAGAGAGAGAGAGAGAGUGAAAGAGAUAGAAGAGAAGGAGAUGAGAGGGAGAAGAGAGGUGGUUCACUGCCUGAGAACCACGUAAGACCUGGGGUUUAAAGAUAAGGCUGAAAACAAUUGCACAUAAACCCUUCACACCAGCUGAAAUUGUUGUUUGCAAAUUAGUCCUCGGGUCUGGUUACCGGUACUCCCCUGCACUGGUACCGGUACCCAGUGCAAUUCCUGCACUGCUUGCAGCAGCACCAAUCCGGGGUCCAUUCGCGCGUCCACUUUACACCGAACACCACCAAACAUCUCCGAAAUCUGCCUUUAACUAUCCUCACGCUUCCACAAUGAUUCGGAAACACCACAAACUAUAUUCAUACUUCCAUUUGAUCCAUUCCAUCAAAACUAACCUUGUAAUCCGGAGAUUUUCUUUCAAAUUCGUUUUGCGCCCAAUUUGCGCCAAAACACUCAAUUACCUCCAGAAAUCAUUCCCAUACCUCCAGAAUCACUCGGGAAAGAUGCAUAUCCAGUUCAAACUUUACUUUGAUUCUCCAGCUUAAAGUUAGCAUUGUAAUCCGAAAAUUUUCAGUAUUUUACAGUUACAAUUAGGAUUUUUGUGGUUAGAGGAUUUGUAAUGAAAUUGACCCCUUAAU